CCUACGGGAGGCAGCAGUGAGGAAUAUUGGUCAAUGGCCGUAAGGCUGAACCAGCCAAGUAGCGUGAGGGAAGACUGCCCUAUGGGUUGUAAACCUCUUUUAUGCGGGGAUAAAGGUGUCCACGUGUGGAUGUUUGCAGGUACCGCAUGAAUAAGGACCGGCUAAUUCCGUGCCAGCAGCCGCGGUAAUACGGAAGGUCCGGGCGUUAUCCGGAUUUAUUGGGUUUAAAGGGAGCGUAGGCCGGUCUUUAAGCGUGCGGUAAACUUUUGUGGCUCACCAUGAGAGUGCGGCGCGAACUGGAGACCUUGAGUGCGCGGAAGGCAGGCGGAAUUCGUGGUGUAGCGGUGAAAUGCUUAGAUAUCACGAAGAACCCCGAUUGCGAAGGCAGCCUGCCGCAGCGUUACUGACGCUGAAGCUCGAAAGCGCGGGUAUCGAACAGGAUUAGAUACCCUUGUAGUC
rnacentral:rRNA from 1 species